AGGGACCACAGCAUCGUCUUUUGGCACAGACUUCCCCAGGAGAAAAUGGAGAAGUCUUCUCCUCUUGGAGAGGUCCAAGGGCAGCAUCCGCAGCUGCUCUUUUACCACGGAGUCGGCGGGCAGCAGAUGCCGAGACUGCCGACUGGGUGUUUGGAAGAGAAACACCCGAUGUUUCUAAGGAAGGUGUCUCCAUUGGAAUGGUGAAUUUUUCACCUGGGCAGAAAUUCCUGUCCAUGACCGUUCCCGCAGCCAACAAGGCUUGUCCUGCCAGCAGCAGCAGGAAGCGCAAUGGCACCCGUGCUGCGGGCAGUGGGACCUUCACAAACGUCACCAUGGGGACGUUCCACUGCAUCACAGCCGCAUCACAGGGCAGAGAACGUUUGCUGGCAAAAUGGGGCAGCCAGGUACACCUUAAUUAAGGAAAUAGGAUCCAAGUGUCAUGCUACUGUGGCUCUAUGGGCUGUCAUACUACAACAGUGUAGAUAGUUGAGCAGAACAUGGAAAAGAAAAGCAGACAUCAGAAUUACAACACUCAGAUGUUAAAUUUCAACAUUGUCCAAUGUCAUCCUACGGAGCACCAAGGGUAAAGUCAAAGCUUUCAUGCUUGACACAAACAGAGGAUCUCAUAUUCAGCGCCUCAUAAAUCCAUUAUUAAAAAUUCUGUUUAAGUUAUAAAAUACAACAUUAAGAAGUUUUCUUUAUCAGUUUCACUUUAUCCAUACCAUGUUUUACAUUACAUAGCAAACUCUAACUGUCCUGCUACUGAGCCAGCUUACUUUGGGAAGAAGUUCUUUACUGUGAAGGUGGUGAGACACUGGACCAGGUUGUCCAGAGAGGUGAUGGAUGCCCCUUUCCUGGAAGCACUGAAAGGCCAGGCUGGAUGGGGCUGUGAGAACCUGGUAUAGAGGAAGGUGUCCCUCCUUGCAGCAGGGGGGUUGGAACUAGAUGAUCUUAAAGGGCCCUUCCAUCCCAAACCAUUCUAAGAUUCUAUGAUUAUAUGUAGCCAGGGCUACCUCAUGCAACAAGAGUGGUUGAGUUGAUAUAACAGAAGGACAGGAUGCCAUCAAAAGGGACCUGGACAAGCUUGAGAAGUGAGCCCAUGUGAACCUAAUGAGGUACAAUAAAGCCUAGUACAAGAAGUUGCACUUGGGUUGUAGCAAUCCUAGGUAUGUGUACAGAAUGGGUUAAGAGCCCCUUGAGAGCUACAGCCCUGCAGAGAAGGACUUGGGGGUCCUGGUGGGUGAAAAGCUGGACAUGAACCACCAGUGUGUUCUCUGCAGCCUAGAAGGCCAACAGUACCCUGUGUCAAAAGAGGUGUCGACAGCAGGGUGAGAGAGAGGAUUGUCUCCCUCUGCUAUGCCCUACUGAGGCCUCAUCAGAAGUGCUGUGACCACACCUCGGGGUCCAGUACAAAAAGGGUGUAGAGCUGUUGGACUGGGUCCAGAGGAGGGU